ACAGACCAACAUGUUUAACUCAAUAGCUUGAUAAAAAUGUCUGUUAAAUAUCAAGCACAGGUUCUUCCUGCAUCUGUUGCUAGGAUUUCGGAGAUGUCUGGAUUUGAAGCAACGCCAAGUUUUGCAAACUGCAAAAUACCUUUUUUGACAUAUGCAACAGCACUACUGACGUGGCUUCCCUCAAAGACGGAAAUCUACUACUACUCUCUGAAACAUCUGGAGACAAAAGACUGCAGUAGAUCAGCUAAAAUUUCAUAAAUUAUUUUACACACUGGAAGUCUACAGCAGGUCGCGGGGCUGGGAAUCCAUCGGUGCUCCAGUCGAUUGAAAACCAGCAAAGAAAAAGAAAUAUGUAGCAAUGUCCACGUGAUAGCCCCUAAAUUGUCUUUUUACUCCAGCAAAGAACCACUCCCAAAGCCUUAAAAAACAUCAAUACCACUAUUAAUGUAACUUGAUAUACAGUGUUUAUUCACAUUAGUAAUUAAAAUAAUAAUUUGUAUUCCUAUGGAUUAUUGAGAAAAAAGCUUGGUUACUCCAGAAAUACGUGUACCAGGUUA